rnacentral:rRNA from 1 species
GACGAGGUAGGCGGAUUUCGUAGUGAAGCGGUGAAAAUGCAUAGAUAUUACGAAGAACUCCAAUAGUGUAGACUGCUUACCAGACCAUAUCUGACACUAAGGCACGAAAGUGUGGGUAUCAAACAGGAUUAGAUACCCUGGUAGUCCACACAGUAAACGAUGAAUACUAACUGUUUGCGAUAUACAGCAAGUGGUCGAGCGAAAGCGUUAAGUAUUCCACCUGGGAAGUAUGCCGGCAACGGUGAAACUCAAAGGAAUUGACGGGGGCCCGCACAAGCGGAGGAACAUGUGGUUUAAUUCGAUAAUACGCGAGGAACCUUACCCGGGCUCGAACGAUAUUUGAAUACAUCCGAAAAGAUGUAGCUAGCAAUAGCAAAUACCGAGGUGCUGCAUGGUUGUCGUCAGCUCGUGCCGUGAGGUGUCGACUUAAGUGUCAUAACGAGCGCAACCCUUACCGAUAGUUACCAUCAGAUAAUGCUGGGGACUCUAUUGGGACUGCCACCGUAAGGUGUGAGGAAGGAGAGGAUGACGUCAAAUCAGCACGGCCCUUAUGUCCGGGGCGACACACGUGUUACAAUGGGAGAAACAAAGGGUCGCUACCUGGCAACAGGAUGCUAAUCUCGAAAAUCUCUCUCAGUUCGGAUUGGAGUCUGCAACUCGACUCCAUGAAGCUGGAUUCGCUAGUAAUCGCACAUCAGCCAUGGUGCGGUGAAUACGUUCCCGGGCCUUGUACACACCGCCCGUCAAGCCAUGGAAGCUGGAGGUACCUGAAGUAUGUAACUAAAAGAGCGUCC